AGAGAGGCGGGAAAAGCGAGCGGAAAAAGGUGUGUGAAAAAGAAAUGACCAAGACCCAAACAAGAAAACGCUGACUGGCUAACAUCGAGACGUUGGAGGACCCAGGGAAUAGCCCAGGGAAUGGCGUGUCCAAACCACCAACAGGGCUACUCACCACUAACGUCCGGGCCAUUGGAGCCAGAGCUGCUGGGGUCGUUUCAUUAAUUAGCAAAUGUCCUUAGCUCCUGGUGGCUUUCGAGCCAAGCACGGAUCGGACAAAACAACGCUAUCGACAGAUGGUUAUACAACAGAUGACAUUUACAGCUCAUACCAGGGCUGCCAAGAUGAGGAGUCCAACAACAGCAAAAAGUAACGACAAGUCACCACAAGAAGCUCCCGACACUCAUAUCUCGUGGUAUCGUUGCAUUUUUCCACUCUCUAUGUUCAAUCUAUGAUUCCAGCAGUUGCACCUGCUCUUUAGGACCGCUACGAUACAACCAAAGUAUCUAUUGCACCACCUCUCAAACACACAAGAUGCACUGCUCUGUCUUUCCCGUCUCCACCACAGACCGACUACAAGUACAGUAUGUGCAGUGCAGUACAAGUAGAUGCACUUGUACGUCAUCACAGCUCCUCUUUUUCCUUCCCACUGACAGCUUUCUACUCCUCCCAUGUAGCAACCCUUUACUGUCAUACGAUCUUUGCUACAUGGACCUUGUCCUACCUAUGGGCGGUUUGUUUUUCCGUGGCAUUUAUCAUUUAUUGCUUCAGUUAUGAACGUUACGGCCAACUGUUUUCCACGACUAUAAGGCGUCACACUGCCUUGCUAUACCUCCUAUUCUGCUGAAGUUAUGACCACAACCCGUGAUGCACUCCCUCCUACAGCGACAUCCAAAAACACUUUGCUGUGCACAACGCCCAAAAUGUUCCGAAAUGUCUCGCGAGCUACGGCAGCAAAUGUCUCGUGAGCUAAGUACGGCAGCGAAAACAAAUGUCUCGUAACCAUCUUUGUUUUUCUUGCUCAGAGACACACUAACUAACUCUCCGUCUGUAGCCGGGUCACACUACGGGUGUACUUUGCGAUACCAGAUGCUACAAUUGUAGCCCAGACCAAUGUGGACUUGUAGCCUAUGCGAUCGUGCUACUUGUAGGGGGACUGUAUUACACCAAAGUUGUUUUGAAACUGUGAUCAAUACGCCGCAGUCCAUGUGUGUGUCACCCCUUUUUUUUUUUCUUCUUUUUUUUUCUUCUUUUUUUUUCUUCUUUUUUUUUCUUCUUUAUUCUUUUGAUCCCUAGCCUGCUCCAAUGAGAUGCGCCUUUUUCGUAUUUCCUGUUCGGGAGCGUCGUGUGAACCUACGGCGGCAUGGCAGCUGCGUAAUCAUUUCCUGAAGAGCAGAUGUCUUCAGUUUGAUUUCGACUGCGGAUGGAUUAUUGAGAUUAUCGCUAGACAUGCUGCAAGGGGAAGGUAAUACCCGGUAGGGUAAUACCUGGCUAAUUUCCUCACAUAAUGAUAAGAGGUCAAUAGUGAUGAGAGGAACCAGCUUGGUCGUAGACGAGAUGUCCAUCUUGUAGAUGUGUAUCCGCUGAUCUACAAUCUCUUGUCGUGAAUGAGCAAGCACACACCCUUCUGUGUGCUACUAUCAGAACGUGGUGUCCCUAGAAGUGAGCUGUAAGUCGUUAUAUUAACUAUAUCUAAUCAAUAAUACUUAGGAUUUUC
rnacentral:misc_RNA from 1 species